rnacentral:rRNA from 1 species
AUUGAACGCUGGCGGCAGGCCUAACACAUGCAAGUCGAGCGGAUGAAGGGAGCUUGCUCCUGGAUUCAGCGGCGGACGGGUGAGUAAUGCCUAGGAAUCUGCCUGGUAGUGGGGGAUAACGUCCGGAAACGGGCGCUAAUACCGCAUACGUCCUGAGGGAGAAAGUGGGGGAUCUUCGGACCUCACGCUAUCAGAUGAGCCUAGGUCGGAUUAGCUAGUUGGUGGGGUAAAGGCCUACCAAGGCGACGAUCCGUAACUGGUCUGAGAGGAUGAUCAGUCACACUGGAACUGAGACACGGUCCAGACUCCUACGGGAGGCAGCAGUGGGGAAUAUUGGAGAAAGGGCGAAAGCCUGAUCCAGCCAUGCCGCGUGUGUGAAGAAGGUCUUCGGAUUGUAAAGCACUUUAAGUUGGGAGGAAGGGCAGUAAGUUAAUACCUUGCUGUUUUGACGUUACCAACAGAAUAAGCACCGGCUAACUUCGUG